AGUGAACGCUGGCGGUAGGCCUAACACAUGCAAGUCGAACGGCAGCACAGUAAGAGCUUGCUCUUACGGGUGGCGAGUGGCGGACGGGUGAGGAAUACAUCGGAAUCUACUUUUUCGUGGGGGAUAACGUAGGAAAACUUACGCUAAUACCGCAUACGACCUACGGGUGAAAGCAGGGGAUCUUCGGACCUUGCGCGAUUGAAUGAGCCGAUGUCGGAUUAGCUAGUUGGCGGGGUAAAGGCCCACCAAGGCGACGAUCCGUAGCUGGUCUGAGAGGAUGAUCAGCCACACUGGAACUGAGACACGGUCCAGACUCCUACGGGAGGCAGCAGUGGGGAAUAUUGGACAGUGGGCGCAAGCCUGAUCCAGCCAUACCGCGUGGGUGAAGAAGGCCUUCGGGUUGUAAAGCCCUUUUGUUGGGAAAGAAAAGCAGCAGGUUAAUACCCCGCUGCUCUGACGGUACCCAAAGAAUAAGCACCGGCUAACUUCGUG
rnacentral:rRNA from 1 species